rnacentral:rRNA from 1 species
UGGGGAAUUUUGGACAAUGGGGGCAACCCUGAUCCAGCCAUCCCGCGUGUGCGAUGAAGGCCUUCGGGUUGUAAAGCACUUUUGGCAGGGAAGAAACAGCCUGGGCUAAUAUCCCGGGCGACUGACGGUACCUGCAGGAUAAGCACCGGCUAACUACGUGCCAGCAGCCGCGGUAAUACGUAGGGUGCAAGCGUUAAUCGGAAUUACUGGGCGUAAAGCGUGCGCAGGCGGUUCGGAAAGAAAGGUGUGAAAUCCCAGGGCUUAACCGUGGAACUGCACUUUUCACUACCGGGCUAGAGUACGUCAGAGGGGGGUAGAAUUCCACGUGUAGCAGUGAAAUGCGUAGAGAUGUGGAGGAAUACCGAUGGCGAAGGCAGCCCCCUGGGAUGAUACUGACGCUCAUGCACGAAAGCGUGGGGAGCAAACA